ensembl:lncRNA
CACCCGGGGCAGAAACAGCACAGGGGUCCCUGAUAUCUCCCGUCCCGGGCCGGGUCUGAGGAGUGCGCUCGAACCCCCCGACCCCACGUUUCCACCCGCUCUCAGCAGGAGGUUCAGAGGAGAGUCUGGAUUCACAGAGAACAAAAGCGGAAUUAGCGCCUCUUUUGUUUUUGUGGUCUCGUGUCUGUCUGGCGUGAGCUCCUUGGGCGAUCGGAAGACAUCGAUUCCUGCUGUUUUUGUUGACGCUGUGCUCCUCACUGCUCCUCCCACAGGUGUCCGGCGCUCCACAGCUGACCUGGAAACCAAUGAUUGAUGACAUCAUUUAAAGGGCUGCUCCAGUUCUCUUUUGUCUUCUCCAGAUGUUAACUGAUGGACUGGAGUGCUGUGGAUUACUUGUGGAUUAUUGUGAUGUUUUUAUCAGCUGUUUGGACUCUCAUUCUGACGGCACCCAUUCACUGCAGAGCAUCCAUUGAUGAGACACUGAUGCAGUGCUACAUUUCUACAAACCUGAUGAAGAAACAAACUCAUCCUGAUCUCAGAUGAUCUGAGGCAGACGCUGCUCGGCGGUGUUAUUUAGCAACUUUUAAAUGCUCCAAUUAUGUAAAUUACAGGAAGAUUACUUCUCAUGAUUACAGUAAUGGCGAGGAGGAUCACCGUAAUGGAGGUGGACUGUAAAUAAGCAGAAGGCCUUCUUGACAAAUGAAUCCAUUAACAUUUCCCAGUGUCACCUGGCAAGGAGACUUGCCGUUUAUGAGGCAGAAAAAACAGGCCUGUAAAUCUGACGAUCGGCGGAGACCUGAAACCUGCGCGUUCAUGAUGCAGCACUUUAUCUGGCUCUGAAAUGGCAUCUUUAUCUGCUUAAAUUAAGUUUUGAUUCCUUGCCACAUACGGUGUUGCAAAUCACUUUUAACGCCGAUAUCGAGAGUGGCACUAAAGUCGGCCUGUGGCCAUGAAAAACUGCUUUUUAUUUUGUAGCAUCCUUGUGUUGUGCCGGUUUGCUUUAACCCCUGCAUAUUCUCUCAGCAUAAUCUAUCACAGAAAGAUGCUCUAAAAAGUCAUUGAGUCAAGGUUUAUGGGCAGAAUAAAUUUCCAAUUUAAAUUUGGUUUUACCGCUGUGUGUCAGAGAAGGAUUCCCUGACUUCUGUUUCACUUCAUAACGCCGGCCUGAAGUCAGCGCUUUAGAGACGCCGAGAUUGAUAGAGUUUUUUUUUCUCAAGGACGCCCAUCAUUCGCUCAGGCGUUAACGUCUUUGUUAAUGGAGGAGAAGGGCUGUCGCACCAAUGACUGACAGGUCUUUCAUCGUUAGCAAACGCUGAGUGACAGUUUGGGGGAAAAGCACCAAUGAGCUGAGAGAGGUGAGUUUAUGUUGAUGUUGCUGUUUGGGUUUGAUUAGAGCAGAGCUUCUCCAGCGGUUUGUCAUCAGGAUUUACACUGAAAAAAAAAAAAAAAAAACUGGGGUAGAAACAAUUCUCAUGUAGAAACUGCACGUAAAUUUCACAAAUCGUUACUAAGUAAUGGCAAUAACACAUUGAAAUAAUCAUGAAAUUUUGAAGUGGACAAACCAAAAUAGUAUUUUCUUGUAACAUGCACUCCAAUAAUUUUAUUUACAACAUUGAAAAUUUAGUUUUACAGUGCAGAUUUUACAUCAAUGGUCUCAAGCUCACAGCUCUGCAGAGUUCAGCUCCAACCAGCUCCAAAUCACACCUGCUUGAAAGUUUCAUAUAUAGUUUUAAUUAACUAUUUAACUUUAACAAAUUGUUGCUUGAAAUAAAAUAGACAUUAACUGAAAAAAUAAAGAUGUGCUAAAAAUAACAAGAAUUUUAAAUAAAAAUUAAUACAAACUAUAUAUAAACAAACCACUAAAAAUUACAAAAACACACAACAAAAUUACAAAAACUUUAACUAAAAUUAAAAAAAGCAUUUCCAUUAUUUAAUAAUACAGACACUAAAUAGACAUUAAUGAAAUAAAAUAGACAUUAUUGAUAUAAAAGAAAAUAUAAAACCUUUUUAUU